rnacentral:tRNA from 1 species
CCUGAUGGCUCAGACAGUAAAGGAUCUACCUGUAAUGUAGGAGACCCAGGUUCAAAACCUGGGUCAGGA